UCGUGGAAUGAUUUGUCUGGUUGAUUCCGUUAACGAGCGAGAUCUUAGCCUGCUAAAUAGGCCGUCAAAACUUCAGUUUUGAUCGAGCCUUCUUAGAGGGACAUUGCGUGUUUAACGCACGGAAGUUUGAGGCAAUAACA
rnacentral:rRNA from 1 species